rnacentral:misc_RNA from 1 species
AGCUAUUUAUUUCAAGUCUUUGUGAAAAUCAAAGAGUUGAGGAUUUUUAGGGAAGUAAUAUUUUCUUUGGAGAUAUUACUCCUUAUAAAUGCUUUCACAGUUUUAUUUUUCAAUUUUAAAAUGUAAUACAAUAAUAUAAAAUCAUUUAAAAAUUAAAAUAAUACUUGUGAUAAAAAUUAACUUGUAGGAAAAACUG